rnacentral:lncRNA from 1 species
AAAAAAAAAAAAAAAAAAAAAAACCAAAGGUUAAACUCAAAAGCGCAACUGAAACUUUUGGUUUUGCGUAACCAAAAUAAAAAAAAAAGUUAAUUGCAUACCGCUCUCUGUACAUAUAUCGAAUGAUAAAUAUAUUUUUAUAAAGUUCAACUUUUUAUAUUUAUUCCUGCAAAACUCCUAACAUUUUCAUAUAUAUCUCUACUGCUAGGAUCCGUUAUAAAAAAAUAGUUAACCAUCGAUAAAAUACUUAACCAUAGUUAGUAAAUAAGGUAAAAUGAUAUUUUUAUCCCUCUUAUAUUGUUUAUGAUGAUAGAAAAAAAAAAGACCAUUGAAGAAUUUUUGGGAAGAUAUUUCUAUAUAAUUCUAUCAGUAGAAACUUUUGGAGAAAUAUAUUUGUGAUAGCAAAAGUAUCAUUUUAUUUAUCUUCUGUUAAAAAAUAAAUAGUGCUUUAACGACAAUAAAUCAUAGGAGCAAAUAUGAAUAUAAAAUGUUAAACUUUUUAUGGAUAUAUUUACUAUUCGAUAUAUUUAUAAUAGGGAUCUGUAUGAAAUUAACCCAAAAAAUAAUGACUCCUAUUAUUUGCUAAAUAUCUAACUAUCACUUGUAAAAU